AUUGAACGCUGGCGGCAGGCCUAACACAUGCAAGUCGAACGAGUGGCGGACGGGUGAGUAAUGUCUGGGAAACUGCCUGAUGGAGGGGGAUACCUACUGGAAACGGUAGCUAAUACCGCAUAGCUUCAGUUGGGGCUGGAUGUGUUUAGCUGGUUGGUGGGGUAACGGCUCACCAAGGCGACGGCCCCUGGCUGGUCUGAGAGGAGGACCGGCCCAACUGGAACUGGGACACGGCCCGGACUCCUACGGGAGGCAGCAGGGGGGAAUAUUGCACAAGGGGCGCAAGCCUGAUGCAGCCAUGCCGCGUGUAUGAAGAAGGCCUUCGGGUUGUAAAGUACUUUCAGCGGGGAGGCGUUACCCGCAGAAGAAGCACCGGCUAACUCCGUGCCAGCAGCCGCGGUAAUAC
rnacentral:rRNA from 1 species